rnacentral:rRNA from 1 species
GACGUAGGGCGCGAGCGUUGUCCGGAUUUAUUGGGCGUAAAGAGCUCGUAGGCGGCUCGUUGCGUCGGCUGUGAAAACCCGCAGCUCAACUGUGGGCUUGCAGCUGAUACGGGCGGGCUGGAGUUCGGUAGGGGAGACUGGAAUUCCUGGUGUAGCGGUGAAAUGCGCAGAUAUCAGGAGGAACACCGGUGGCGAAGGCGGGUCUCUGGCCUGUAACUGACGCUGAGGCGCGAAGGCUGGGGUAGCGAACAGG